rnacentral:rRNA from 1 species
CGCGUAGGCGGCUUGUACAGUCAGACGUGAAAUUCCUGGGCUCAACCUGGGGGCUGCGUUUGAUACGUGCAGACUUGAGUUCGGAAGAGGGUCGUGGAAUUCCCAGUGUAGAGGUGAAAUUCGUAGAUAUUGGGAAGAACACCGGUGGCGAAGGCGGCGACCUGGUCCGAUACUGACGCUGAGGCGCGAAAGCGUGGGGAAGCAAACA